rnacentral:rRNA from 1 species
UACGGGGGGAGCAAGCGUUGUUCGGAUUUACUGGGCGUAAAGGGCGCGUAGGCGGCUUUGCAAGUGGCGGGUGAAAUCCCUCGGCUUAACCGAGGAACUGCCUGCCAGACUGUGAGGCUUGAGACCGGGAGAGGUGAGUGGAAUUCCCAGUGUAGCGGUGAAAUGCGUAGAUAUUGGGAGGAACACCAGUGGCGAAGGCGGCUCACUGGCCCAUAACUGGACGCUGAGGCACGAAAGCGUGGGGAGCAAACAGG